CCUUGGCACCUCCCCUUAGCUACGGAGCAAGUACGAGCUCUGAUUGGGCCUGAACCGUAAUGUAGGGUGUAAUACCCGGCACGGGAUUGGCAGCAGGGUGCGGACGCUGACUAGCCAGCUCCAACGAUUGGCUGUAUUUGAAGGGUUGUUUUUAAUCCUGUGAUCCAUUGACCAGCCAUGCUUUGAGGCAAAGAACUCUUGAGAUUGGGGUGAGGGAUCUUCCCAUCUUCCUGAGAGAGAAGGUGAGGAGCAAGCUGGAAAGUGAUUGGUGAGCAAAUGGCCCACUGUAUAAGGUAAAAAGGCAAGACUUGCCAAACAUCAAGGGAGUGGAGUCUUCCUUCUUCUGUGGAAGUUUGAGGUUUGGGGAAGAACACAGGUGGACACCUCUCUCUUGCUCCCUUAUAUGAAGUCUAUUGAUACUGGAGAAGGAAGACAGAGGAUAACAGCACCCAAACAUUGGUAGAUACAGCUACAGGUGAAAUGGAUUUAGACUUCAUAAUGUCUGCUUCUCUGGUCAGUCAGGUAACAUCACAUGGGAGAAUCAGGAACCAGAUGUAUAUCAUAACUAAACAUGAUCAGGGAUGCAUGAUGCAGUAAUGUUAAUAUUAUGUAUUUGUCAUUUGAAUUUACACAUAUCUUUAUGCUUUUAGCAUGCUUGAACUCUUAUUUGUUGUUUAAGUUUGCCUCGUUGUAAACGCAUCUCAUAACCAGGGGUGCUGGAAACCUGUGUGAAGGGUUUCCAUGCUUAAAAGAUAUCCAAGAGUCAAA